rnacentral:rRNA from 1 species
GUCCACGCCCUAAACGAUGUCGACUAGUUGUUGGGACAAGUAUGUCUUGGUAACGCAGCUAACGCGGGAAGUCGACCGCCUGGGGAGUACGGUCGCAAGAUUAAAACUCAAAGGAAUUGACGGGGACCCGCACAAGCGGUGGAUGAUGUGGAUUAAUUCGAUGCUACGCGAAAACCUUACCUACCCUUGACAUGGAUCAAAGCCCUGAGAGAUUGGGGUGUGCUCGCAAGAGAAUGGUCGCACAGGUGCUGCAUGGCUGUCGU